UUCAACAUCAAGGGAUUGAGUGGCAUCAUUGCCAUAGGAAGACUGGUAACUCAGGAUGAGUUUUAUAGUCACUGCCCCCGCAACGGUACGCGCAUCAUGGAAGAAUCAAUAACUUGCCACUGGCACACUGGCUGGGAAGGCUGUUUGUAGCGCUAAGUCCGAAGACUGACUCAAUCCCACAUACUCACG
rnacentral:ncRNA from 1 species